rnacentral:rRNA from 1 species
UGGGGAAUCUUGCGCAAUGGGCGAAAGCCUGACGCAGCAACGCCGCGUGGGUGAUGAAGGUCUUCGGGAUUGUAAAACCCUGUCGUUAGGGACGAAGACAUAAAUCCUAAUACGAUUUAUGUUUGACGGUACCUAGAAAGGAAGCCCCGGCUAACUCUGUG